ACGAGUCAGGCCAAUCCUUUGGUGUUAGUGGCUAUGAUUUAGCAGAAAUUGUUGUCUUUGGAAAAAAGUAGAACAGGAAUAUUUUGAACUGUUAUUGCUUCUGGCAUUCAGCUUAGCAUUAAGGCAGUAGAAAAUUUUAGAUACAGAUUAUUUAUUCUACAAGAUACCUUGGCUUCACUCUUUAAGAUGUGUUGAAUUAGCCAAGGCUGCCCAUGCAGUGUUGUUGCACAAUGUCGGAUUAUCAGCAUGCUGUCGCAAUAAUUCCUAAAGUGUCAAUUGAAUAUAGUAGUAUCUUCUAGAAAAUAUCAUUUAAAAUUUAGAUAAACUAAAAAUGUACAUUAUGCAAAAGAUAAUUUAUUGUGAAUAUCGAAAUUUUUUGGGCAUCUUGUUCGAUAGAACUAUCAGUGAAGGAUUUUUGUAGAUGGG